AAAUUGAAGAGUUUGAUCAUGGCUCAGAUUGAACGCUGGCGGCAGGCCUAACACAUGCAAGUCGAACGGUAACAGGAAGCAGCUUGCUGCUUUGCUGACGAGUGGCGGACGGGUGAGUAAUGUCUGGGAAACUGCCUGAUGGAGGGGGAUAACUACUGGAAACGGUGGCUAAUACCGCAUAACGUCGCAAGACCAAAGAGGGGGACCUUMGGGCCUCUUGCCAUCAGAUGUGCCCAGAUGGGAUUAGCUKGUUGGUGRGGUAACGGCYCACCAAGGCGACGAUCCCUAGCUGGUCUGAGAGGAUGACCAGCCACACUGGAACUGAGACACGGUCCAGACUCCUACGGGAGGCAGCAGUGGGGAAUAUUGCACAAUGGGCGCAAGCCUGAUGCAGCCAUGCCGCGUGUAUGAAGAAGGCCUUCGGGUUGUAAAGUACUUUCAGCGGGGAGGAAGGKRKURWGGUUAAUAACCKYAKYMAUUGACGUUACCCGCAGAAGAAGCACCGGCUAACUCCGUGCCAGCAGCCGCGGUAAUACGGAGGGUGCAAGCGUUAAUCGGAAUUACUGGGCGUAAAGCGCACGCAGGCGGUCUGUCAAGUCGGAUGUGAAAUCCCCGGGCUCAACCUGGGAACUGCAUUCGAAACUGGCAGGCUUGAGUCUUGUAGAGGGGGGUAGAAUUCCAGGUGUAGCGGUGAAAUGCGUAGAGAUCUGGAGGAAUAC
rnacentral:rRNA from 1 species